AUACGGAGGAUGCGAGCGUUAUCCGGAUUUAUUGGGUUUAAAGGGUGCGUAGGCUGUGCGUUAAGUCAGGGGUGAAAUGCCGUCGCUCAACGACGGAGCUGCCCUUGAUACUGGCGUGCUGGAGUACGGAUGCCGUUGGAGGAAUGAGUGGUGUAGCGGUGAAAUGCUUAGAUAGCACUCAGAACACCGAUUGCGAAGGCAUCUAACGAAUCCGUCAAUGACACUGAGGCACAAAAGCGUGGGGAUAGAACAGUAUUAGAUACCCUGGUAUGCCACGCCGUAAACGAUGAUGACUAACCGUCGGCGAUAGACAGCCGGUGGCCAAGCGAAAGCGAUAAGUCAUCCACCUGGGGAGUACGUCGGCAACGAUGAAACUCAAAUGAAUUGACGGGG
rnacentral:rRNA from 1 species